rnacentral:rRNA from 1 species
UACGGAGGGAGCUAGCGUUGUUCGGAAUCACUGGGCGUAAAGGGCGCGUAGGUGGCCUGAUAAGGGUGUGGUGAAAGUCCGGGGCUCAACCCCGGAUCUGCCGUGCCGACUGUCAGGCUAGAGUACUGUAGAGGCAGGCGGAAUUCCGGGUGUAGCGGUGGAAUGCGUAGAGAUCCGGAGGAAGACCGGUGGCGAAGGCGGCCUGCUGGGCAGUUACUGACGCUGAGGCGCGACAGCGUGGGGAGCAAACAGG